ACUUGCUAUUUAAUUACUUGAAAGUAAAUUGAAGGUUGAGCGUAAAAACAUAAAAUAAAGCCUUUUUUCGGUUUCUUAUUAAUUCAUAAAUUAAUGUUAAAAGGGAUUGAUAUAUAAUAUUUAAUAAUUACGUUUCCUACAAUGUUUACUGUCAUGUACCACUGGGAUAUGAGAAUAUAUACAUUGCUUAUCAAAAUACUUAUUUCCAAGAUUCGCUCAAUUAUAUAAACCACGCAUUAAAGCAACAUAUAAAAACAUAUUGAUUCGUUUAUUUUACUUUUACUCAAUGCAUAUUUUGUGAGCCCGAAAAUUUAGAUAUACCAUCUGUGACUGCCUUUUUGGUACACAAACGCCGAAAAUUAGAAGUCUGGUGGACAGCGUUGGCUUUCCGGUAGAUUAGUCUUUUGAGGUUAACAAGUUAAUGAUAUCUGAUAUUCUGAUGUGAUUAUUGAAUUUAUGAAGUGCAUCAGUACUGUAUUUCUCGUGUUCCGGUGACUCUCGUAUUUUGUAUUGCACUAGAAAUAGUGAAAUCGCCAGCCAUUUCAUAAUUUAUCAAGUAGCUCGACAUUAGUAUGACUAUUCAUAUUCUGUAUACGAAUGAUGUUCUAAAUUAAAAUCUGGCAAAGUAAAUGACAAUUCUGUUCAUAUAAGCUGGUUUACAUAGC